rnacentral:tRNA from 1 species
GGGGACGCGCAUAGCUGGCGUGCUUACCGGUCUUGAAGACCGUGAUGGCCCCUCGGGCUGUGAGAGUUCGACCCUCUCCGUCCCCUCCA